GACGACGGGGGCUAGCGUUGUUCGGAAUUCCUGGGCGUAAAGCGCGUGUAGGCGGUUGUCCAAGUUGGAUGUGAAAGCCUUGAGCUUAACUCAAGAAAUGCAUUCAGGACUGGAUGACUAGAGGACCGGAGAGGAUAGUGGAAUUCCCAGUGUAGUGGUGAAAUACGUAGAGAUUGGGAAGAACACCAGUGGCGAAGGCGGCUAUCUGGACGGUUUCUGACGCUAAGACGCGAAAGCGUGGGGAGCAAACAGG
rnacentral:rRNA from 1 species